AUUGAACGCUGGCGGCAGGCUUAACACAUGCAAGUCGAGCGGGGGAAGGUAGCUUGCUACCGGACCUAGCGGCGGACGGGUGAGUAAUGCUUAGGAAUCUGCCUAUUAGUGGGGGACAACAUCUCGAAAGGGAUGCUAAUACCGCAUACGUCCUACGAGAGAAAGCAGGGGAUCUUCGGACCUUGCGCUAAUAGAUGAGCCUAAGUCAGAUUAGGUAGUUGGUGGGGUAAAGGCCUACCAAGGCGACGAUCUGUAGCGGGUCUGAGAGGAUGAUCCGCCACACUGGGACUGAGACACGGCCCAGACUCCUACGGGAGGCAGCAGUGGGGAAUAUUGGACAAUGGGGGGAACCCUGAUCCAGCCAUGCCGCGUGUGUGAAGAAGGCCUUAUGGUUGUAAAGCACUUUAAGCGAGGAGGAGGCUACUUUAGUUAAUACCUAGAGAUAGUGGACGUUACUCGCAGAAUAAGCACCGGCUAACUCUGUGCCAGCAGCCGCCGUAA
rnacentral:rRNA from 1 species